rnacentral:rRNA from 1 species
UCGAACGGUAGUAUCCUUUCGGGGAUAUGAGAGUGGCGAACGGGGAGUAACACGUAGGUAAUCUACCCUCAAAUCCGGGGACAACCCAGGGAAACUUGGGCUAAUACCGGAUGAGUGCAGCACCUUGUAUUUUCCGGUGGGUCGGUGAAUGGUUAAAUCUAAUUUACCGGACAUUGGGAAAUGAAGGUGCUGUAUAAAAGAUGGCGUAAGCUGUCGUUUGAGGAUGAGCCUGCGCUCUAUUAGUUAGUUGGUGGGGUAAUGGCCUACCAAGGCGAUGAUAGAUAGGCGGCCUUAACGGGUGGCCGCCCACACUGGGAUUGAGAUACGGCCCAGACUCCUACGGGAGGCAGCAGUCGAGAAUAGUCUACAAUGGACGAAAGUCUGAUAGUGCGACGCCGCGUGAACGAAGAAUCCCUUCGGGGUGUAAAGUUCUUUUAUAUGUGAGCAAUGCUUUUUAUGUGAAUAGCAUGAGAAGAGAGAUAUUAGCAUAUGAAUAAGCAACGGCUAACUCCGUG